UACGUAGGGGGCAAGCGUUGUCCGGAAUCAUUGGGCGUAAAGAGCGUGUAGGCGGCCCGAUAAGUCCGCCGUGAAAGUCCAGGGCUCAACCCCUGGAAUGCCGGUGGAAACUGUCGGGCUGGAGUCCGGAAGAGGAGAGUGGAAUUCCCGGUGUAGCGGUGAAAUGCGCAGAUAUCGGGAAGAACACCCGUGGCGAAGGCGGCUCUCUGGGACGGUACUGACGCUGAGACGCGAAAAGCGUGGGGAGCGAACAGGG
rnacentral:rRNA from 1 species